rnacentral:tRNA from 1 species
GUCUUCGUGGUGUAGUGGUCAGCACGCUCGACGCGUAUUCGAGAGAUCCGUGGUUCGAAUCCCGCCGAGGUCA